CCUACGGGAGGCAGCAGUGGGGGAUAUUGCACAAUGGGGGAAACCCUGAUGCAGCGACGCCGCGUGUGGGAAGACGGUCCUCUGGAUUGUAAACCACUGUCCCCAGGGACGAAGAUGACGGUACCUGGGGAGGAAGCUCCGGCUAACUACGUGCCAGCAGCCGCGGUAAUACGGGGGAUGCGAGCGUUAUCCGGAUUUAUUGGGUUUAAAGGGUGCGUAGGCGGCGCUUCAGGUCAGCGGUGAAAUACCGGGGCUCAACCCCGGGGCUGCCGUUGAAACCGGAGCGCUAGAAUUCCGAUGCCGUCGGAGGAAUGUGUGGUGUAGCGGUGAAAUGCAUAGAUAUCACACAGAACACCGAGUGCGAAGGCAUCUGACGAAUCGGAGAUUGACGCUGAUGCACGAAAGCGUGGGUAUCGAACAGGAUUAGAUACCCUUGUAGUC
rnacentral:rRNA from 1 species